CCCACCCCAUCCCCACCCCACACGCGCACGCCACCGAUGCCAUUCCUCCACUUCCCCACUGCAAAAUCGUAUCGGCCGCCGCCGUUACCGCUACCGUCGCCAUGACAACACCGUCCCUCCUCUCCUCGCUCGCCACGCUCGGCCUCGGCUACUCCAUCGCCAUCGCGCUUGGCUUCCUCGUCCUCCUCGCUUCCGUCCUGCUUGCGUCCUACUUCUGCUUCCGACACGGCGAGAGCGCGGGCGGCCACUUCGCCGGCGCCAUCACGCCCACGUCCAGCUCCAGCCACCUGUCCAUCACCGUGCCGCGCGUGCUGUUCGUCGCCGAGGGGUCCGAGUCCCCCGAGGCCUACUCCUCGGCAGCCGCGGCCGCCUCGUCGCCAGUCGGGCUCGACCCCGCUGCCAUCGCGUCGUAUCCCAAGGCCCCCUUCUCCAGGGCCGCGGGCGGCGACGCCAUGUGUUCGAUCUGCCUCUCCGAGUACAUGGACGGCGAGAUGCUACGGCUGAUGCCCGAGUGCAGGCACAGGUUCCACGUCAUGUGCCUCGACGCCUGGCUGCGCAGGAGCGCGUCGUGCCCCGUUUGCAGAUCGUCCCCAAUCCCCACGCCCGUCACCACGCCGCUCGCGACGCCACUCUAGGAGCUCGUCCCGCUCUCGCAAUACGCCGCUGACCGGCGGCGCAGCAGGUGACGGGUAGUCUACAUGGGUGCACCUCGCUGCUCUUCAUUGUUACUCCUCUUUUUUCUUUUUGCGUUGAAAAGGGUUCUGUAAAUUUGUCGAUUGUAUGAUUGGUAAGGACACAUAAGGAGUUUUAGGUGCUAGUACGACUGGUGGUGUGCUUAGGAUUUGUAAAGAGUUGCUUGGUUCCCAUUACUAUUACUUCGAGAAAAUUUUGUAAUGUAGAAGUAGAUGACGGGUUUCUCGAAAAAAAAGUAGAUGUUGGAGCAAGG
rnacentral:rRNA from 1 species